UAUCCCUACGGGGCGCAGCAGUGAGGAAUAUUGGUCAAUGGGCGGGAGCCUGAACCAGCCAAGUCGCGUGAGGGAAGACGGUCCUACGGAUUGUAAACCUCUUUUGCCGGGGAGCAACGGGGUCCUUGCGAGGUCCCAAUGAGAGUACCCGGAGAAAAAGCAUCGGCUAACUCCGUGCCAGCAGCCGCGGUAAUACGGAGGAUGCGAGCGUUAAUCGGAAUUACUGGGCGUAAAGCGCUCGUAGGCGGUAUGUCACGUCAAGGGUGAAAUCCCCGCGCUCAACGUGGGAACUGCCUUUGAAACUG
rnacentral:rRNA from 1 species